CCUGCUUCUCCCUCUGCCUGUGUCUCUGCCUCUCUCUCUCUCUCUCUCUCUCUCUCUCUCUCUCUGUGACUAUCAUAAAUAAAUAAAAUAAAAAAUAAAUAAAAAUAAAUAAAAAAGAAGAGGAAUUAGAAGAUGACAAAGGUAAGGCACAAGGACUGGUUAGGCCUCAACCAAUGCCACUGGUUAGGGACAGUGUAACAGUCCAGGAGAGAAACAAGUUUACAGGGAAGAAAUAGUGUUGGAGAGAAAGGAGAGACAGAAAAGACAAAUACCAAGGAAAAAAAAAUCAAAGAAUAGUUGAUUAGCUGGGAUGUGUCUGUCUCGGAUGGAUGAUAGUCAUCAAAGAAUGUUGAUAUUAGUCGUGUAGAAAGUCACUUUUGAAGAACCAUGUCUUCAAAUGGGUCUAAUAGGAUAAAUAAUCUCCCAUCUGUAAUUCCAGAUAAUUAAAUAAAUAUGUUGAUUUGUUAACAUUGCUCAUUUUUGUCAUGGAGUUAAAGACUACAGAAUUGGUGUUUUGUUUUCUCUUAAAAGUGAAGCAUACAAUUAUUAAUAUGAAAUAAUCUAUAUAAUUAUGAUAGAUAUGUAGAAUAGACACUUAUUUGCUGUGCAGUCUCAUACUUCUCUUCCUUUGGGGACUUCACCCAUAUUUCCUAAUGGACAACAAUGCCUUUCCUUUGUGAGUGAGUCACGUUGUUUCAAGUGACAUGAAUUCAGGUGUGGAUCCACUUACCUUAUAACUCAUUCUCCUUAUUCUCAGAUACUGAUUGACAAGUGAGCAGGUGACCCAACUGUGGACAAGGAGUUGGGUUGUUUUGUUUUGUUCUAUUCUGGUUUGUCUUAAGGAGUUUGGUCUUUUUUGAGAAAGAGAAACCUCUUUUCUUUUCCAUGGUAGCUACCAAAAGAGAUGCUCUUUUACUCUCUACAAUGUAAAUAUGAGGAUUCAAGUCUGGAGCUGAUAGUUAUUUGUGCCUGAGUGAAAAGCUCCCAUGUGAACCCAGAGAAAAAGCCAAUAUCUCAAAGGGCACAAUGGUAAAAACAGUAUGUGAAUUGCUGAAGUAAGCUUUUUCCAAAGCCAGAUCUACCUGUGGACUUUUCAAAUGUGUGAACCAAAAUACUGCCAUUAUUAUCAGAGGCUGUAUGGUAUCAUGAUAUACUCAGAAAAUUGUGUGUAACUUUUUUAGGAAAAAUUACCUUAUUUCUUUAAUCUCUUCUUAUGGCAAAGAAGAACUAUUCAAUAACUAUGAUUUUUAACCAUAACACUUUGAAACAUUCAAAAAGCUAUUAGUACUGUGUUAUUAUUAUACAAUUCAAACCAACUGAAUUCUACAUAGAGGGUAUCGAUAGCUUUUGACUUUCCUGGACCAAAAUAUCAUUUAAUAUAAAUGAAAGUGGCUUUUUAAAUCUGAAGUCACGUAGAAAAAUUUAUGACAAAGCAUUAGCAUUUAAGACUGGAUUGUGAAGAGUAAUGGCAAUUAUACGCUUUCCUGUUUCAUUAGGAAGGUGAAUCAAGAUGAACAGGAAAAUAGCUCAGGAAAGCACUUCCCUCAAACACACAAAACUUACACAUUUUAACAAAGGUAAAUCAUAAGACUUUUCAGAAAAAUUGUUAGCCUUUCCCCUAAUAGUACAGUUUUAGUUGAUUAAAUUGUAAAAGCUAAAGUCGAAGGAGACCUGUUUUUUCUUUUUUUUUUUUUUUAAAUUGUUUUGGUAUAUCUUUGAAGUUACGAGAUGGUCAAUGUUUUUUUUUUUUUUUUUUAAAGAUUUUAUUUAUUCAUGAGAGACACAGAGAAUGAAGCAGAAACAUAGACAGAGGGAGAAGCGGGCUCCAUGCAGAAACCGGAUAUGGGACUCGAUCCAGGGACUCCAGGAUCACACCCUGAGCCAAAGGCAGACACUCAACUGCUGAGCCACCCAGGCAUCCCAAUGGUCAAUGUUAAAAUAUAUUUGGUGGUUUAACAAUAACAUUUUACUUCCAGGAUAAUGUUCUCACACUUUAUAGCUCUGAGAAUGUACUUUACGCAUGGGAACUAAAAAUAUUAUGCUAUGAGAGAGAAACUGAAGCGAAAAAGUUCAAAAGAUUCAUUUUACAUGAGAUGCAGAAAACCCCAUCUGCAAAGCCAGAAGCAGAGUGACUUCUUCAAUGUAAUUUUCAUUGUCAUUGAAAGUGACAGAUUUUUGACAAAACUCAGCAUUCGCUCUGAACUAUUAUAGCAGUUCAUUUUCCAACAGCAAGUAAUUCCAACUCGACACAGUGCUUGAUGUAGACAUCCAGUUCAUGUGCUAAAUCUCGUAAACCCCUAACUGUUCAAUUUACUUCAUAUGGGGAAAACUGGGUCAACCUGGAACAAUUUCGUACAGAAAAGAAACAGAGCUGCUACAACACUUUGAACUCCAGGCUCUGAAGGAUCCUCUUCAUUCCCAUGUCAAAGGUGCAAGAACCACAUCCUACUACACAUUUCUUCACUUGAACUCCUUGGCUUCUCCCCAGGGCCAGAAAUCAUUAACCAGUUACUAUAGAUUUGCCUUCGCUGAGCAUAUCCAAAUGUUUGUCCCCAAUUUUGCCUAUCAUGUUGGUGUUUGCAUUAUGAUUAUUCAGGGGCAGGAGAUUAAUCAGCCUUUCUGUACUUUAAAAAAUAGAGGGAGGGAUUAGGUUGACUAAAAUUGUGUGGAAGGAAAAGGUGUAGCAGUUUGCCUUCUACCAGAGGAGGCCUAGGAAGGAGAAUUUAGUUUUAUAUCAUGUUGUCUUUUCCAGUAUUGAAAAGAGGUAAUCAGACUCAGUGAUAAAUUCAACAUCAGAAUUAUGUUCUGAUUUGCUACUUCCCAGCUGUCCUCUCAGAGGGGUUCCCUGAACACCUAGGGAAGGGCUGGCUGAGCCUCCUGGGAAGGCAGUGAUGUUUGGAGGGUGAGCUCUCCUUGUGAGAGGUUGUGUGUGUGCUGUGUGUGGUUUCAUCACCUCUCUGCAAUCCUUGCAAUUUAGCUCAGAAAAUUAGGUAGACCAGAGAGCUGCUUGGGAUCUUGUUUGUAGGGGAUAUCACAGUGCAUCUGACUGGCCAAGGUGUUGUCAGGUGCCUGUGGAAUCAUGGAGAAAGUACGUUGCCUUCUCUGAAGGGAUUUAAUAACCACACUCUCCCUCAUGGGACCAACUACUUUGAAUGAAUAUUAGGAUAAAUUACAGAGGGAAACUGAGGAACUUAAUCCAAUAUUGGUAAUUUUUCACUCAUUAUUUCACAAAUAUUUUUGAGAAAAGUAUAUAUUGUGCUAAAUAUUACAGUCUAAUUGAGGAAGAUGUCUAGACCUAUUAAGGUCACUGAAAAGUAUAAAUUCUGAAAUAGAAGGUUUUAAGCCCACUUGGGGGGAGAAAGGCAUAAAAGAUAAUCAAAGCCAAAGAAUGUUCUAGUUAACUGAUGAUAUAAUAUUUCUAACACAUCCUGUUUUUCUCUUACCUUUUCCCAGCCAGAGAGAGAGAGAGAGAGAGAAGAUAAAUAGAAAUAGCAUCAGAUACACUAUGAGUGG